CUGUUCAGUUACAGCUGAACCAAAGAGUCAGAGUAACGUUACAGGCUCUGUGCUGUGAAAAUCCAGGAUGUAGAGAUAGGCCAUUACGUGUGUGCUUGAAGUGUUAAGGAAGAACCCGUGCCGAUUAUAGUUCAGUUUGGUUAUCUAUAAUGAAUACAGUAAAAACCUAACUAACAAGAUGGUCGAAAAUACGUUCCUGCUCCCAAGAUACUACCACCGUAGUGUCAAGCAUGCCAAGAACUCUUGUAACUUCAAAUCCAUUAUUAUUGUUCUGAUGGUGAGUGAUGGCGAUUUCCUGAGAGUUUAAGCUGACUGACAGCUUUUAAUUGCCUGAAAGUAAUUGAUUAACAAGCGAAACAAGGAGCGGAAGUUUUCCCUGGUGGAAGUUCUUUGAGGAGGCGAGCUCAUUUUCCGUGUUCCUUGAAAUCAGUUAACAUACUGAAUGAUGUUCUGGAAAUAUAAAGUUUAUAUAUAAAAAUCUCCCAAACUAGGCCAGUGACUGUAGGGAGUGGAACUGGUCAUCUAGCCAAGGACUUUUUCCGGAGGAUCGACAUUUGCAAAUACAAACUCCCUAUAAAGAUGGAUUAUUAGCAAGUGGAUGAAAGAACUGUCAACCUCAGUUGCUUCAGGAAUCAACUUUAGGAAUAUCUCUCUCCAGCUACAAAAUUAUCAAAAGUGCGUGCCUGGUAGUAGUUAUGGGAUUAUAAUGGAUGACAAACUUGAUUUGAAUGUUGUAAAAGUGGCCAAUUUUAUUAGGUACACAAUGUUCAUAAUUUCAAAGUUUUCAGAUGUUGAAGCGUCAAGUACCAAGGAUGUCCUAAAAUUUUAAUGCUUUUUCUUAAUGAAAUAUGUCGAUUUAUAUCACAAUUCGUUAAAUUUAGCUUACGUUAAGUGUUCAGAUAAUUGAAGACUAAUCUUAGAGUAGGUCCAAAUAAGGUGUUAGUGUUUGGUAAUUUUGAUACUGAGAACAAAUCUAGAAAAAAUUUUGAUACUGAGAACAAAUCUAGAAAAAGACUCGGAUCAGUUGUAGAAAUUCAGGGAG